rnacentral:rRNA from 1 species
GACGAACGCUGGCGGCGUGCUUAACACAUGCAAGUCGAACGGAAAGGCCCUGCUUUUGUGGGGUGCUCGAGUGGCGAACGGGUGAGUAACACGUGAGUAACCUGCCCUUGACUUUGGGAUAACUUCAGGAAACUGGGGCUAAUACCGGAUAGGAGCUCCUGCUGCAUGGUGGGGGUUGGAAAGUUUCGGCGGUUGGGGAUGGACUCGCGGCUUAUCAGCUUGUUGGUGGGGUAGUGGCUUACCAAGGCUUUGACGGGUAGCCGGCCUGAGAGGGUGACCGGCCAAAUUGGGACUGAGAUACGGCCAAGACUCCUACGGGAGGAAGAAGUGGGGAAUAUUGAACAAUGGGCGGAAGCCGGAUGCAGAAACGCCGCGUGCGGGAUGACGGCCUUCGGGUUGUAACCCGCUUUCGCCUGUGACGAAGCGUGAGUGACGGUAAUGGGUAAAGAAGCACCGGCUAACUACGUG